AUUGAACGCUGGCGGCAUGCCUUACACAUGCAAGUCGAACGGUAACGGGCCUUCGGGUGCCGACGAGUGGCGAACGGGUGAGUAAUGUAUCGGAACGUACCUUUCAGUGGGGGAUAACGUAGCGAAAGUUACGCUAAUACCGCAUAUUCUGUGAGCAGGAAAGCAGGGGAUCGCAAGACCUUGCGCUGAUUGAGCGGCCGAUAUCAGAUUAGCUAGUUGGUGAGGUAAAGGCUCACCAAGGCGACGAUCUGUAGCGGGUCUGAGAGGAUGAUCCGCCACACUGGAACUGAGACACGGUCCAGACUCCUACGGGAGGCAGCAGUGGGGAAUUUUGGACAAUGGGGCAACCCUGAUCCAGCCAUGCCGCGUGAGUGAAGAAGGCCUUCGGGUUGUAAACCUCUGUCACCCGGGACGAAGACACUGACGGUACCGGGGAGGAAGUCACGGCUAACACGUGCCAGCAGCCGCGGUAAUCGUAGUCUACG
rnacentral:rRNA from 1 species